rnacentral:sRNA from 1 species
UCGACUGGAAGCUAUUUUUUAUUUCCAGUCAACGAAGACCAUAGAGACCUAGGCAGUGAUUGGCAGUUCAGCUUAAUACUGGAUCGGAUUCCUGACGUCAGCGGUGGACAAUGAAAAGAAAAGAAAACUUUAUUAAGAUAAUAUGAUUACCAGCUGAUCGUUUUAACCUCGAUUAUGCCGAGAGUAACGAUCUAUUAUUUCAUUAAGAAGUUGGUACUGAAGAGAUUAUUUCUUUAGUGAAUUCAUUUACCACUGACAUACACAAAAUAUCUACUUAUUAAGAACAUUAGAACUGCAACAGAAAAGGCACGCAUUUGGAAGAGUGUAAUCUAUUUAGUGCUUCGUGUUUAAACUGUCGUGUACAUAGCAAUGCAUUUAUGCUAUUUAGAUGGAAAUUGUGACACUGGCUUACAUUUUGAAACGAUCUUUGAGAAGCGCUGAUCUAACCUUCGUAGAUGUUUAAAUAAAAGUAAUAGGGACAUAACAUAGAGAUUUUUAAA